rnacentral:rRNA from 1 species
CCUACGGGAGGCAGCAGUGGGGAAUAUUGCACAAUGGGGGAAACCCUGAUGCAGCGACGCCGCGUGAAGGAAGAAGUAUUGCGGUAUGUAAACUUCUAUCAGCAGGGAAGAAAAUGACGGUACCUGACUAAGAAGCCCCGGCUAACUACGUACCAGCAGCCGCGGUAAUACGUAGGGGGCAAGCGUUAUCCGGAUUUACUGGGUGUAAAGGGAGCGUAGGCGGUUUAGCAAGUCAGAAGUGAAAGCCCGGGGCUCAACUCCGGGACUGCUUUUGAAACUGUUGAACUAGAGUGCAGGAGAGGUAAGUGGAAUUCCUAGUGUAGCGGUGAAAUGCGUAGAUAUUAGGAGGAACACCAGUGGCGAAGGCGGCUUACUGGACUGUAAAUGACGCUGAGGCUCGAAAGCGUGGGGAGCAAACAGGAUUAGAUACCCCUGUAGUC